rnacentral:rRNA from 1 species
AUGAGCACGCAACCUCUACACCCCUGCACACUGCAGCGUACAGGCUACGCUCCAACGGACCGCACCAAGCUCGAGGCCGCCGCCGCCAUGCCCCUCCGGCGCCUCCUAGGCCUCUCCGGCCGCCUCCGCCGCCCCCUCUCCACCGUCGCCUCCUCGCACCCACCGUGCCACCACACCCUCUCCACCGCCGCCUCCUCGCACCCACCGUGCCCCGCCCUCUCCACCGACGCCUCCUCCUCGAACCCGCCGCGGCGCCGCACCCUCUCCACCGCCGCCUCCACGCUCCCACCAUGGGUCAUCAUCGACGGCAGGUCGCCCGUCGACGAAUCGUCGUCGGCGCCGGGCGCGCUCUUCCGCCCCGUCGACCCUCCGCGCGUCUCCAGCAUCUCCGUCCCGGCGCACCUCAUCAACGCCAGGGAGCGCCCCGCCGCCGACAGCAGCGUCGUCCAAGUCCUCGGCGGCAGCGUCGACGCCGCCAGCGCCGACGGCCACCUCCUCCUCACCCACUACGACAUCCUCGGGCCCGACAUGGAGGCCGAGCGCUGCAUCUGCAACCCCAUCACCGGCCAACUGCUCCGCCUCCCGUACCCCGACGGGUCCAGGAAGAGGCUGGAGUACCACCACAUGGGCCUCCUCACCAAAGCAGGUGGCGGCGGCGUCGGCGGGGACGCGCCUCACCGGUUCGCCGUCGCCGAAAUCGUGCACCAGCGUGACCGCGUCAUCGACCGGUUUCUCCCGGAGAUUGGCAGGUGGGAGUUGGUGCUUGGCCUGCCGUGCAAACCGCCGCUCAAGUGGGUAAUGGAGAUGAACCAGGAAACGGUGGCCUUCGGCGACCGCCUCUGGUGGGUCGACCUCACCCGCGGCGCCAUCUCCGUCGACCCCUUCAGCUACCGGCCGGAGUUCCGCUUCGUCGAGCUGCCGGAGGGCAGCAGCCUCACGGACUUCCUCGCACAGUUCAAAGAAGCCCCCACCGCGACGUUCAUGAAGGAGAUGGGCAAGUACCGGCGCAUCGGCGUCAGCGAGGGAAGGCUGCGCUACAUUGAGGCUUCUCUUCACGACCCGUUCCUGCUCAGCUCGUUUGUGCUCGACGACGAGGGCAGGAGCUGGACGCUGGAGCGCCAGGUGGAGCUCAGGCAGGUGUUGGAGGAUGGAGGCCACCCGUGCGAAGAGGGGAAGAGGCCGCCGCAGAUCGCCGUCAUCGACCCGCUCAACGCCGAUACCAUCUACAUCACCGUCGGCGAGCAGAAGCACAUCGUCGCCGUGGACAUUUACCAAGGCAAGGUGAUCGGGAGCUCUCCGCUUCAAGACGGAUACCGUUCGCUUGUACCAUGUGUGCUUCCACCCGCGCUUGGAUCAAGCCAGAUCCCUACCUACGGCAGGAACCCUCUCCAUGACUUCAAAAUGGUCACUGGGCCAUCAUCAACGCCAUUUUAG